UGGACAAAAAUUUUAUGGGCAUCGUCUCCGAACUACUAGUUUAAGGACAAUGCCGGUGGACACCGCAUGGUCUAUCGACAGACGAAAAUGAAAAAAGAAAAUAAAUCAUACCUCUGAGCUUCCAAACAGAGAGAGAGAGAGAAUUGUAGAGAAAGAGAAAGGGAUGUUUGUUGCAAUUCGCCACACGGCGUCCAUCCGUAACAUCCCCAUACAAAUGGUUUGGA
rnacentral:lncRNA from 1 species